rnacentral:rRNA from 1 species
GGGGAAUAUUGCACAAUGGGGGAAACCCUGAUGCAGCGACGCCGCGUGAGUGAAGAAGUAUUUCGGUAUGUAAAGCUCUAUCAGCAGGGAAGAAGAUGACGGUACCUGACUAAGAAGCCCCCGGCUAACUAC